UACUAGGGGUGCAAGCGUUGUCCGGAAUUAUUGGGCGUAAAGAGCUCGUAGGCGGUUUGUCGCGUCGGGAGUGAAAACCUUGGGCUUAACUCAGGGCUUGCUUUCGAUACGGGCAGACUAGAGGUAUGCAGGGGAGAACGGAAUUCUUGGUGUAGCGGUGAAAUGCGCAGAUAUCAGGAGGAACACCGGUGGCGAAGGCGGUUCUCUGGGCAUGAUCUGACGCUGAGGAGCGAAAGUGUGGGGAGCGAACAGG
rnacentral:rRNA from 1 species